GUUGUAUAGUCAAGUAAUUAAGUGCAUGUGGUGGAUGCCUUGGCAGUCAGAGGCGAUGAAAGACGUGAUAGCCUGCGAAAAGCUCCGGGGAGGCGGCAAAUAUCCUUUGAUCCGGAGAUGUCUGAAUGGGGGAACCCACCUACUUUAAGGUAGGUAUUGCAACAUGAAUACAUAGUGUUGCAAGGCGAACGAGGGGAAGUGAAACAUCUCAGUACCCUUAGGAAAAGAAAUCAAUUGAGAUUCCCUCAGUAGCGGCGAGCGAACGGGGAUCAGCCCAUUAAGUUAUGUGUGUUUUAGUGGAACGCUCUGGGAAGUGCGAACGUAGAGGGUGAUAUUCCCGUACACGAAAGGGCACACAUAAUGAUGACGAGUAGGGCGAGGCACGUGAAACCUUGUCUGAAUAUGGGGGGACCAUCCUCCAAGGCUAAAUACUCCUGACUGACCGAUAGUGAACCAGUACCGUGAGGGAAAGGCGAAAAGAACCCCUGUGAGGGGAGUGAAAUAGAUCCUGAAACCGCAUGCAUACAAGCAGUGGGAGCACCUUCGUGGUGUGACUGCGUACCUUUUGUAUAAUGGGUCAGCGACUUAUAUUCAGUAGCAAGGUUAACCGUAUAGGGGAGCCGUAGAGAAAUCGAGUCUUAAUAGGGCGUUUAGUUGCUGGGUAUAGACCCGAAACCAGGCGAUCUAUCCAUGAGCAGGUUGAAGGUUGGGUAACACUAACUGGAGGACCGAACCCACUGUCGUUGAAAAGCCAGGGGAUGACUUGUGGAUAGGGGUGAAAGGCUAAUCAAGCCUGGUGAUAGCUGGUUCUCCCCGAAAGCUAUUUAGGUAGCGCCUCGGACGAAUACCAUAGGGGGUAGAGCACUGUUUCGGCUAGGGGGUCAUCCCGACUUACCAAACCGAUGCAAACUCCGAAUACCUAUGAGUACUAUCCGGGAGACAGACUGCGGGUGCUAACGUCCGUAGUCAAGAGGAAAACAAUCCAGACCGCCAGCUAAGGCCCCAAAAUCAUAGUUAAGUGGGAAACGAUGUGGGAAGGCAUAGACAGCUAGGAGGUUGGCUUANNNNNNNNNNNNNNNNNNNNNNNNNNNNNNNNNNNNNNNNNNNNNNNNGAAGCAGCCACCCUUUAAAGAAAGCGUAAUAGCUCACUAGUCGAGUCGGCCUGCGCGGAAGAUGUAACGGGGCUAAAACUAUGUGCCGAAGCUGCGGAUGUAUACUUUGUAUACGUGGUAGGGGAGCGUUCUGUAAGCCGAUGAAGGUGUGUUGAGAAGCNNNNNNNNNNNNNNNNNAUGCUGGAGGUAUCAGAAGUGCGAAUGCUGACGUGAGUAACGACAAAACGGGUGAAAAACCCGUUCGCCGAAAGACCAAGGGUUCCAGUCCAACGUUAAUCGGGGCUGGGUGAGUCGACCCCUAAGGCGAGGCCGAAAGGCGUAGUCGAUGGGAAAAUGGUUAAUAUUCCAUUACUUCUGUGUAAUGCGAUGAGAGGACGGAGAAGGCUAAAUCAGCCUGGCGUUGGUUGUCCAGGUGAAAGGAUGUAGGCAUGUAUCUUAGGCAAAUCCGGGGUACUCUAUGCUGAGAUCUGAUAGCAAGCUGUACUUGUACAGCGAAGUGGUUGAUGCCAUGCUUCCAGGAAAAGUCUCUAAGCUUCAGUUACACAGGAAUCGUACCCGAAACCGACACAGGUGGUCAGGUCGAGUAGACCAAGGCGCUUGAGAGAACUCUGCUGAAGGAACUAGGCAAAAUGGUACCGUAACUUCGGGAGAAGGUACGCUGUUGUUGGUGAUGGAACUCGCUUCCUGAGCUGACGACAGCCGCAGAAACCAGGCCGCUGCAACUGUUUAUUAAAAACAUAGCACUCUGCAAACACGAAAGUGGACGUAUAGGGUGUGAUGCCUGCCCGGUGCUGGAAGGUUAAUUGAUGGGGUUAGCGUAAGCGAAGCUCUUGAUCGAAGCCCCAGUAAACGGCGGCCGUAACUAUAACGGUCCUAAGGUAGCGAAAUUCCUUGUCGGGUAAGUUCCGACCUGCACGAAUGGCAUAAUGAUGGCGGCGCUGUCUCCAGCAGAGGCUCAGUGAAAUCGAAAUCGCUGUGAAGAUGCAGUGUACCCGCGGCUAGACGGAAAGACCCCGUGAACCUUUACUGCAGCUUGACACUGAACUUUGACCUUACUUGUGUAGGAUAGGUGGGAGGCUUUGAAGCUGGAACGCUAGUUCCAGUGGAGCCGUCCUUGAAAUACCACCCUGGUAAUGUUGAGGUUCUAACUCUGUCCCGUGAUCCGGGACGAGGACCGUGUCUGGUGGGUAGUUUGACUGGGGCGGUCUCCUCCUAAAGAGUAACGGAGGAGUACGAAGGUGCGCUCAGCGUGGUCGGAAAUCACGCGUAGAGUAUAAAGGCAAAAGCGCGCUUAACUGCGAGACCCACAAGUCGAGCAGGUACGAAAGUAGGUCUUAGUGAUCCGGUGGUUCUGUAUGGAAGGGCCAUCGCUCAACGGAUAAAAGGUACUCUGGGGAUAACAGGCUGAUACCGCCCAAGAGUUCAUAUCGACGGCGGUGUUUGGCACCUCGAUGUCGGCUCAUCUCAUCCUGGGGCUGAAGCAGGUCCCAAGGGUAUGGCUGUUCGCCAUUUAAAGAGGUACGCGAGCUGGGUUUAGAACGUCGUGAGACAGUUCGGUCCCUAUCUACCGUGGGCGCUGGAAAUUUGAGAGGAUCUGCUCCUAGUACGAGAGGACCAGAGUGGACGAACCUCUGGUGUACCGGUUGUGACGCCAGUCGCAUCGCCGGGUAGCUAUGUUCGGAAGGGAUAACCGCUGAAAGCAUCUAAGCGGGAAGCCUACCUCAAGAUAAGAUUUCCCUAGGACUUUAUGUCCUCUAAAGAGCCGUUCGAGACUAGGACGUUGAUAGGUUGGAUGUGGAAGCAUAGUGAUAUGUGAAGCUGACCAAUACUAAUUGCUCGUGAGGCUUGACUAUACAACACCCAAGCAGUUG
rnacentral:rRNA from 1 species